rnacentral:rRNA from 1 species
UACGGAGGAUGCGAGCGUUAUCCGGAUUUAUUGGGUUUAAAGGGUGCGUAGGUGGAUUGUUAAGUCAGUUGUGAAAGUUUGCGGCUCAACCGUAAAAUUGCAGUUGAAACUGGCAGUCUUGAGUACAGUAGAGGUGGGCGGAAUUCGUGGUGUAGCGGUGAAAUGCUUAGAUAUCACGAAGAACUCCGAUUGCGAAGGCAGCUCACUGGACUGCAACUGACACUGAGGCUCGAAAGUGUGGGUAUCAAACAGG